rnacentral:rRNA from 1 species
UGCAUUGGAUUGAGAACAAUGUACAACUCUUAUCGAUAAGCCAUUGGAGGGCAAGUCUGGUGCCAGCAGCCGCGGUAAUUCCAGCUCCAAUAGCGUAUAUUAACGUUGUUGCAGUUAAAAAGCUCGUAGUUGAAGUGUGGGUGAUCGCUGUUGUGAGACUUCGGUCUCUCGACAGUAAGUCACCCCCUUCCAGUAUCCAGUAGUGGGUAUUCAGUUACUUACUACUGUGUGUUGGUCCUUUACUGUGAGAAAAUUAGAGUGUUCAAAGCAGGCGUUUGCUUGAAUAGAUUAGCAUGGAAUAAUAAUUGAAGGCUUUCGUGUUCGAUUUGAUUGGUUUGUUCAUGGAAGCAAGGUUAAAAGGAACAGUUGGGGGUAUUCAUAUUCACUAGUUAGAGGUGAAAUUCUCGGAUUUAUGGAAGAUGAACAAGGCCAAAAG